UUUGUUCUUUGUUUCCUCCACCUGUUUUCAAUUGGCUUAAAUUGGCUGGUCGGAAAAAAACUCCCAAGCACGCUACCCUCGGGAGACGAGCAAGUUUCCAUACGCUGUUGUUGCAAUGCAUAUUGUUCCACAAAGGGUGGUAGUACUUCUUUGAGGGGAGGGUGUGUAGACUGAGCCAGUGCAUGCCUCAUGGGGCUGCCAUUGUAGGUACAGAAUAAGGCCGUUUGAGUCCACACUUGGCAGCCAAGUUUUCCGUGGUCUGCGAGGUGAAUGUGGGGUGUGGUCCCGCAGAGGAGAGAGUCCUGCUCACAGGCCUCCAUGCUGUAGCAGAUAUCUACUGUGAGAACUGCAAGACCACGCUGGGUUGGAAAUAUGAACACGCCUUUGAGAGCAGCCAGAAGUACAAAGAGG